AAUAAAUAUAUGCAUAAUUACACUUUUAAGAAAUAUGCUAAACACAAAUGUACUUCUAGUGAAGUUUUAGUAUAUUUGGAUAAAACAUACUUUUUUCAAAACAUGAUUCAUUAAUUGUAAUAAGCUAACAUUGAACUUUCCUCAAGCAUUUCAACAUUAUAUCAUUCCGAUUGCAUAAUAAACUAUUUUUUCAAAGAUUUGCUUAAAAUCUUACGUUUGCAAGUGUUUAUUUACAAUCAACGAGCCGCUCUAAGAGCUGAUUCUUUGUAGCGAACGAGCAGAGCCGAAUCUUCAGACGCAGGCAGGGGUAGGACCGUAAGAGCCGGCUCUAAUAACGGAGCCGAGCCGAAAGAGCCGAAUCUAUUGAAAGAGCCGGACUGCCAUCACUAAAAUGUAGAGCCGGAGCUUGAGCCGAAAGAGCAGAAUCAAUGGAAAGAGCCGGACUGCCCAUCACUACAAACAACGCACGUGACACACGUGACUAAACCUGAUUGGUUGUUGUCAUAGUAACACGUCACGGUGCUAUUUGAAACUUGUCUUGUUCAGUUCAGUUCAGUUCACAGGUGCAUGCGGUUGCUUGCAUUAAACGUAUAAACUGUUAAAUUAGAUGGCGACUCUGCAUUAAACGUAUUUAUUUAAUUAAUCGGCGAUCAUAUUUCACCAGAGGACUAAGAUAAAACAACUCGAUUUAAAAUGUGAGCAGUUUUAGUGGAUCUGACGUCGAGGGAAAAAGUAUUUCGCUUUUUGUUUGGAGAUAAACGAGACAACACGAGGGUAAGUGAUGACAGAUUUUCACAUUUCUUUAUUUAGUUAACUAUUAAGUAAGUAAAACAUUACAUUACAUUUAACCUAGCUUCUUUAUGUAACGUUUUGUCUGUGUUGCGUGUGGUAAUUUAAACAUCUUUAUUUUCUGACUAACGUCAUUAAAUCAUUAAAACCUUUCUUUUUUUUAGCACAGCGACAUAAAUAUGACCAAUCAGAUCCCAAGUAGACGGGAACAAAUGAAGAUAUAGCGCAUAGAAAGACUUAUUCUUGGUGAUCAACUGCUAUUGACAUUUUUUAAUUGGGACAAAUGUGGAGUGAUUCGGAAGAAAAACGUUUGCAACACAUCCAUUCCAGAGUGCUCUGACAGAUAAAACUGACACGCUUGAUGAGGACACAGUCAAAGCUUUAAAAGACCGUGUGAUAAAGCAGUCUUCAAUUACUACGGUGUCUGAUUUGCAAGAAGAAGUCACCCUCCACUUAAACAUGUGACAUCUAAACUGUUUUGUGUUUUAGUUCAGCUUUUUAUAGGUUUAUUUUAAGUUGGUUAAAGGCGGAGUGCACUAUUUUUGAAAGCCAAUGUUAACAUUUGAAAUUACCUAAACAAACAUGCCUCUACCCCAAUAGAAUAUGAACCUUCUUU